rnacentral:rRNA from 1 species
UACGGGGGGAGCAAGCGUUGUUCGGAUUUACUGGGCGUAAAGGGCGCGUAGGCGGCCAGCGCAAGUCAGUUGUGAAAUCUCCGGGCUUAACUCGGAACGGUCAACUGAUACUGUGCGGCUAGAGUGCGGAAGGGGCAACUGGAAUUCUUGGUGUAGCGGUGAAAUGCGUAGAUAUCAAGAGGAACACCUGCGGCGAAGGCGGGUUGCUGGGCCGACACUGACGCUGAUGCGCGAAAGCUAGGGGAGCGAACGGG